UGGUGUGUCGUGUGAACAGUUACUCUAGAAGGAAGUUAAGUGUGGAUGUUGAAUGGUCUUAUGGUCUUCAGGAUAUAACGGCUUCUGUUUGCCCUUCAAGACGGAACAAAAGCUUUGCUUCUUCCCCAGCGGCGCUCUCUCCAUCUCUCUGCCUUGCUUGUACAGCUCAUAGAUAUAUUGGAACCAUAUUAAAAUGGAAAUUAAGCUGUUUUUCAGCCCUGUGCUGACUGCUGGAGAUCCAUGGCCCCCAAAACAGGUGUGGCCCCUGCCCUCAGGAAGCAAGGUAGUCAGGUGUAUGUUGAUGUUGAAAAGGUGUGGUCAGAUGAUGCAACAAUAAAUGUGAAUCAGAAAGCAUGACCAGUGCCAUGAUGGAAAAUGAUGGCAGAGGAAGAGACGGGUAUCUAUGGCUCCUCACCUCAUCCAGGCAUGGGGGAAGAUUUCUCUAAAGGUCAAUGAUCCUUGAACUGUAGCCUGAAGGAUGAUCCAGAAAAACAUGGCAAAUGGAUGGAGUGAGAACAGUGCAGGCUGGGCGGAGGGCUUUUCAUUCAUUUUCAUAAGAGGAGACUUGUAGGUUAUUAACUUGAAAAAUUAUUGUAAAACCUUUUCCUAGCUUAAAGGAACAAAGCAAUACAAUACUUGUUGACACAAAGUGUCCUUU